UGUGUUUGUAAAGUAUCCACUCAUAACAGAGUUCCGGCCAUUAUGUCGGUGACGUAAGGGAAUGCAACCAAUGACAUUACAGUAUCAUUCGCGCGAACACAAUUUAAAUUGUCGGCAUUGUGUACGGAAGUCAUUUUUUGCGAAUUGCGACUUGGUGAAACUGACUAUUGUUUGUGAUGGCGUGUAAAAGAAACCUGAGUUUUACUACUCCCGUGAGUAAUAGGGCUUUGCAACCAGCAGCAAGCCCACUGAGCAUAAAUGAUAUAAUGAAACAGCUGAUCUCCGGUCAGAACGCUUUGUCUCGUCAGCUUGAGGGUUUGAUGGAGAAGCAAGCUGCAAACACUGUUCUUCUCGAAGAUGCUAUCCAGCGUCUUUGUGCUCUUGAGCGAAAGUUUGACGAGCAAAGACCGCAAGAGGAACAAAGACCGCGGGAAGAGCCAUUACAUAAAAGGAUAAAGAGGGCGCACAACGUGGGCAUUGCGUUGUCCGGCCUUUUAACAGUUUGUCACGUCUGAAGCUGUAAGGCGCCUUCACAAUUCGGAAAACAACCCACAUAAAUAUGAUCCACAAACUGGAAUAAGUUCGCCUCGUAACCAAGCAGUCAUGACUUAUCAGCUAGAGGAAUUGAAAACAACUUUUGCAGAUGCAGACCCUGAGUGUAUACAAGCGUGUUGCAAGACAUACUUUGAAACACUUCGGAGAAAGUACAAUUUGUCUCAGCCAGAAAAGUCCCAGCUAAGAGAUGCCAUUAAAACAAGAGCUAAAAACCGACAAAGGAAAAGACGGUUGCUGGAUUCCAGGUCCAAGGUGAGGAGCUUCAGCGCAGAUUGGAGGCAGACAUGCGCUACACUAUUUUGCAUCAUCAGCGUGUUAAGGCUGAUGGAAAUGGACAUGAUGGACCUUCCUUUCUUCAACUUUAACUAAACUGCACUGGUUUUGCAAUUUUAAUAAUUGCACCACAAUUAACGCAAUUACAAUCGGCAAGUCGGUCGGACAAAAAGGGGAAAAAAAUAAUUAAUUGGGUCAGUCCUAAAUUGACAGGGUCGGUCAGUUAUGGCAAACAAGAAUAUUUUUAAGGAUGGCCUAAUAGUUAUUUGAAACUUGUGAAGCUUGUGAACAUAUUAACAACACAGCUAGUAAUGACAGCGUUCGGUUUUAUUGUUGUCAUCAAUUAAUACACUUCUUAAUUACAAUACAUUACAUAUUUAUACAUUAUGUUGUCAAUAAAUUACCUUUAUCCGUAAGUUUUGGCCACUGCCUGACAUCAUCUACCCAAUUUUCCCUUUCACCAGACAUUUUCUUUAAUGAGCAGGAUCCGCUUUCAUUGAAAUGUCAUUAGAGGGCACCGGCAAGUGUCACACCGUCACACUUCGCAGGCACGCAGUAAUGGCGGCAGGCAAGAUGGCGGCGCCCAUAGAGUUUGCGGCGGAUUUGUGUAUACAUUGACCCGCGCAUCACUGGUACAGGGGCGCCCCCAAGGGGUGGCCAGGGGUGGCCGUAUAAACUCUGGCCACCCCUGUGGCCACCCCUAGGAUGAUUUGCAGUGGCUACUAUUAAUUUAAAUCUAUUUUAAAUCUAUUAAUUUUAGAUCUAUAUAAUUUAUAUAUCAUUUAAUAUAGUUACUAUCACACGAAGAGUGACGUUUUUCUCCAGAAGUCUGCAUAAUUGCAACUGUGACAUUGAUUUCAUAUAACAGUUCAAUAAACAAGAAGUUAAUAUCAAGAGUUUUACGUUUUAGACAACAUAUUCACUUUUUGCGCUCUAUUUCUAAAAACAAAAAUCAUUCCAAACACAGCCACUGUUUUGUGUCUCUGAGCAACAUGACAGUGUUUCGUUCCUGAAUGAAUCAACCGUUUAAAUGAUUCGGUUCAAUCGCAAUGACUCACUUAUUAACAGUGACUCGCUUCCACCUACUGGCUGUUUUAAUUUCACAUUUAAGGUACCAUUUCAUUUUUUAAACAAUUUCAAACAUCAGUUUUCAAUGUUUUAUGUUUAAAAUAUCAAAACAUUAUUUAUUAAUUUGUAACUCCAGGUUAAAGUAUUCCAUGUCCCUCAGAGCUCCAUUAAACAGUGUGUAAAAACAUCUAAAUGGCACUUCAGAUGCAGUUUCUGUUUUCUCUGCAUUGCAAAGAUCAAUUUUGUUGAUAGUGAUUGCAUUUGCUUGGUAACAGCCCAAAUGCAAGUGUCUGACUUAAAAGAUGGUGCACACUUUUAGAAAAAAAUGGCGUAAAGGUUAAAAAAAAAAAAAAAGCCUCAGCUGUCAGCACACUUAGAAAUAAGAUAUCAGCACAAUAACACACACAACAAAAUAUUGUCUAAUUUUCGUUAUCGAUAAAAUCCCAGAAAUCACAGAGAUAUCAUUUUUUUGUCAAUAUUGCAAACCCUUUAUUUAUUUAUUUAUUUUUUGAUGUGCCACCCCAAGAUUUACUGUGGCCUCAUCUGGCCACCCCUAUUAAAAUUUUCUGGGGGCGCCACUGCACUGGUACAACAACUUGUCACUGGGACAGUAUCUUAAUUUGUACUAUACAAUCUAUUGAAAGGGUCUUUACAAAUAUUAUUCAAUCCAUUCAGAAGUGCCCUAUAGGUGUAACAUCAUCAUUACUAACUGAUGAUGAGUUUAUCAAGUGAAUCUGUAUGACGUAAAAUGAUCCAUGGUUAGUAAAAACACUGGAAUAAAAGUUUCCAAUACAGAAGAACAGCAGUGAAAUAUCUCACCUAGAACUGUCACUGUGGCAAUAUCAGAAUCAGAUGAUGUUAUGAAUGAGCCUGCCUCAUUUAUCAUUGUGUAGUAACAGAUAAUGUUGAGUGAUUCAGGUGAUUUUACAGCUGCCCAUCUGAACACUUCAGCACCAGUGAGCUCGAGCUCACAUGAUGGACUGGUUUUCAUUUUCUUCUCCUCUCUGUUUAUGUAGAAAUCACAUUUAUUCGCUGUAACAUGUGUUUCUGUCUCACAGCUGAUCUUCACUGCGCUGGACUCUCUUAUGACAUCUGGAGAUACUUUUACUCUAGGAAAUUCUGCAACAAAACAGUUCAAUCAGUCAUUACAUCUCUUUACUGACCAUGUUUACAUGCAUCAUUUUCCAACUACAGUCCAUGUAUAGGUUUAACCUUUAAACAAACUUAUAAAUGUCUUUACAACAGCACCCAAAUAAACAAUGAACAAUGUCUUUGUAAAACAUGUUUCAUUGUUUUCAUGUCCUACGUAUUAUAAAUUGAUUGUGUCAGACAAAGAAGACAUGCAAAAUGUGCAGUGUUUGAGGCUCCAGAAAUCUGCUUGAGAACUACUAGUAUAGAUUAUAAACCCUGCCGUCACCAUGUUGUCGUGAUCCCUGUCUGUUUUCUUAUGUCUCUGUUCAUGGACUCUUAGUUUGUAGCUCUGACUUGUUUGUGACCUUGUUCCCCUCAUGUUUCCCUGUUGAUGCUCCUGCCUUAGAUUUCUGGUCUUGCUCCUGAUCAGUGUUCCUUUGUUAUUUACCCUUGUUUGUUUCAUUCUGUUAUGCUGAGACCCAGACGAAGUGAGGUGGAUCCAAAUGCAAGUAGUUUAUUGGCAAAACGAGAAAAAAAACAGAGGUAAAUAACAAAGGGACACUGAGCAAGAGCAGAAGCAAUGUCCAUGAACAGAGACUCAAGAAUCAUAGAGGGAUCGUGAUGUAUGUAAA
ensembl:lncRNA